rnacentral:sRNA from 2 species
CCAAUAGCGUAUAUUAAAGUUGUUGCAGUUAAAAAGCUCGUAGUUGAAUUUUGGAUUCUUCCAAUUGGUCCAUCUUUUAGAUGAGUACUGGUUGUGUGGGGUCUAUCCGCCUGGUGAUACGUAAUGUCCUUUAUUGGAUGUUGCGGGUAGUCAGGACCUUUACCUUGAAAAAAUUAGAGUGUUUAAAGCAGGCUUAUGCCGGAAUACAUUAGCAUGGAAUAAUAGAAUAGGACGAAGUUGUUUUAUUUUGUUGGUUUCUAGGACAACCGUAAUGAUUAAUAGGGAUAGUUGGGGGCAUUAGUAUUCAAUUGUCAGAGGUGAAAUUCUUGGAUUUAUUGAAGACUAACUACUGCGAAAGCAUUUGCCAAGGAUGUUUUCAUUAAUCAAGAACGAAAGUUAGGGGAUCGAAGACGAUCAGAUACCGUCGUAGUCUUAACCAUAAACUAUGCCGACUAGGGAUCGGGCGAUGUUGUUUCCAUGACUCGCUCGGCACCUUAUG